AAGUCGACGCUGGCGGCGUGCCUAAUACAUGCAAGUCGAGCGGACGGAUGGGAGCUUGCUCCCUGAAGUCAGCGGCGGACGGGUGAGUAACACGUGGGCAACCUGCCUGUAAGACUGGGAUAACUUCGGGAAACCGGAGCUAAUACCGGAUAAUGCACAACCUCUCAUGAGGCUAUGCUGAAAGAUGGUUUCGGCUAUCACUUACAGAUGGGCCCGCGGCGCAUUAGCUAGUUGGUGAGGUAACGGCUCACCAAGGCAACGAUGCGUAGCCGACCUGAGAGGGUGAUCGGCCACACUGGGACUGAGACACGGCCCAAACUCCUACGGGAGGCACCACUAGGGAUUCUCCCGCAUUGCACAAAAGUCUGACGAAAAACGCCGCGUGAGUGAUGAGUUUUUGAGAUCGGAGCCUCUCUUGUCGGGAA
rnacentral:rRNA from 1 species